UACGUAGGGGGCGAGCGUUGUCCGGAAUUAUUGGGCGUAAAGCGCGUGUAGGCGGUCCGGUAAGUCCGCUGUGAAAGUCGAGGGCUCAACCCUCGAAUGCCGGUGGAUACUGUCGGGCUAGAGUGCGGAAGAGGCGAGUGGAAUUCCUGGUGUAGCGGUGAAAUGCGCAGAUAUCAGGAGGAACACCUAUUGCGAAGGCAGUUCGCUGGGACGUUACUGACGCUGAGACGCGAAAGCGUGGGGAGCAAACAGG
rnacentral:rRNA from 1 species